CACGCCGUAAACGAUGUCAACUAGCCGUUGGGAGCCUUGAGCUCUUAGUGGCGCAGCUAACGCAUUAAGUUGACCGCCUGGGGAGUACGGCCGCAAGGUUAAAACUCAAAUGAAUUGACGGGGGCCCGCACAAGCGGUGGAGCAUGUGGUUUAAUUCGAAGCAACGCGAAGAACCUUACCUAGACUUGACAUCUCCUGAAUUACCCGUAAUGGGGGAAGCUCUUCGGAGCAGGAAGACAGGUGG
rnacentral:rRNA from 1 species